rnacentral:tRNA from 1 species
GGAGCUGUGCCUGAAGUAAAGGGCCACUUUGAUAGAGUGAGCUAUGGAGGUUAAACUCCUCCCAACUCCU